AUUGCUACAUGCGUGGUUCUCCUUGCGUGCUCUUAAUACCAUUCCACACCCAUUUACACAUUCAUAACCGCCCACCCCUUCAAUUCAUUCAUUGCCUUUCGCCGCCCUCUAUCUAACAUACACACAUAUACUAUUUAAUCAUCAUAUAUAGAAGACCCCUUUAUUCUUCUUAAUUUCUACACUAAGUAUCUAGUUUGUUUUUUCCAGUUUUUGUGCAUUCUCUACCAAGUGGAGUGGAAAGUGUUCUUUUGCCAAACAGAACAAAGCCACAAGAAUUAAUAAGCAAAGAUGGUGAUGCUGGGUUUGGGAAGGCUUGUAGUGACUCUAAAAUCCAAAAUAAGGUCUUUGAAACUGAAGAAACCUUAUGAUAAGAUGGAGAAGAGUGAGAGCAUGAGAGUGGAAAUAAGAAGCAGGAAGGCCAGAAAGCUUAUUGAAGAGACCCUCAAAAUUGCUGAUUCACCUAAGUCCAAAACCUUCACCUUAUGAUGAUGUUAUGCUAAGCUACCUUAUGUUAAUUGUAUGUAUUAGUAAAACUCUUCAAUAAUUAAGGUUCUGUUCUUCGUAUAUGUGUUGUUAAAUUUCAAUGAGGUAACUAGCUUUAUCCUUUA